rnacentral:lncRNA from 1 species
GGCGGGGCUACUGAAUGGUGGGAAGGGGCGGGAUCUUGCCGCCGCGGCUGCCGCUGGAGCCGGUGUCCGGGCUGGUGAUGGGGUUAAUUUCCUUUCGUAAGACUCUUACUUGUACCCACCCAGACCCGCCGUCGCCCCGCCGCGCCGUGCUCCAAUCGCCUCCUCCUCCUCAAUAACGCGGAGCUGGAGCCCGGACUCUGCCUGGUUUCCUGGGAGCUCUUGAGGAUAAGGACAAUCUACUCCCCCUGAACUCUUGGCCUUGCACAUUCACCCGGAUGAGCACCCAGCCCCCACUCAC